rnacentral:rRNA from 1 species
UUGAAAGGGAAACGAUUGAAGUUCNGGUCGGUACCCACGAGAAUCAGCUUUUCGAAUGUGCAUUUGUGGGCGUAUGAGAUCUUCAUUGUUUGCAAUAUGUAUGUUUCUUUGGUGUACUUUUUCGUAUGGUAGGUCAACGUCGGUUUUGGUCGCCAUAAAAUGACCGGAGGAAUGUAGCUUCGGCUUCGGUUGAAGUGUUAUAGCCUUUGGUAUAUGUGGUGAUUAGAACCGAGGAUUGCAACGAAUACCUUUUAGGCUAUCCGUCUGACCUCUGAAAGUUACUUAGGUGCCGAAAGCUUGCUUAUGGUCAUUUAAGUUGACGGUCAAUAGGUUAGAACGUGAUUACAUUCGUUAAGGAUGUUGACGUA